GGGCGUGAGGAGAAGAAGAAGAGAAGCUGAGGGAGAAGAGACGAAAAGAAGAAGAAGAGGGAAAAGAAGAGAGGAGGAAGUGGGAGAAGAGAAGAAAAGAAGAAGAAGAAGAGAGGGAAGAUGGAGAGGAGAGAGAGAGGCAGCAGCAGCAGCUAAGGCUGCUGCACCUCUGUUUCCCGCAGGUGGAAACAGAGGAGAGGAUGUGUGGGGCGUAGGGGAGGAAAAGGGAAGAGAAGAAGAAGAAGAAGAAGAAGAAGAAGAAGAAGAAGAGAGGAGAAUAGCUGCGGCAAGGCUGCAGCGAGGAGGUGUGUGGCGUUGGGGAGGAAAAGGGAAGAGGAGAAGAAGAGAAGGAGAAGAAGAGGGAAAAGAGAGGGAAGAGGGAGAGGAGCGAGAGGUGGCAGCAGCUAGGGCUGCAGCACCUCUGUUUCCUGCAGGUGGAAACAGAGGAGAGGUGUGGGGCGUUCGAAGAGGAGAAGAAGGAGAAGAGGAAGAGAAGAAGAAGAGGAAGCAGGAGAAGAGGUUGUGAUACCUCUGUUUCCUGCAGAGGAAACAGAGGAGAGGGUGUGUGUGACGCCGGGGAGGAGGAGGGAAGAAGAAGAGGAGAAGAAGAGAAGGGGAAGGAGGAGCUGCGGCUGCGGCGGUGGCAGCUGCAGCUGGAAGAGAAGGAGAGGAAGAAAAGAAGGUGAGGAAGAAGAGAAGAAGAAGAAAGGAAGGAGAAGGAAGAGGAGAAGGAAAAGAAGCAGCUGCGGCUGCGGCUGUGGCAGCUGCAGCUGUGGCAGGGAAAGAGAAAGAGGAAGGAAGAAGGGAAGGAGAGGAAGAUGAGCAGGGGAGGAAGAAGAGGCUGCGGCCGUGGCUGAGGCUGCGACUGCAGCAGUGCAGCUGGGAAAGAAGAGAAGGAAAGGAAGAAGAAGAGAAAGGGAAGGAGAGGAAGAAGAGAGGAAGAGAAGGGGUGGCAGCUGCGGCAGUGGCAGCUGCAGUUGGAAGAGAAGAAGGAGAGGAAAUAGAGUAGCGGAGGAAGAAGAGGCUGCGGUUGUGGCAGUUGCAGCUGGGAAAGAAAGGAAAGGAAAGGGGGAAAAAGGGGCUGCGGACGGGAUUGCGGCUGCAGCGGCAGAGACUGUGUAUGCAGCAGCUGUGUCUGCGAAAGAUGGGGAGGAAGAAGGCAGUGCAGAGGAAUGGGCUGCGGUUGUGACCGCAGCUAUGGUCGUGGCUACGACUGUGGUAGUGGCAGCGGCGUUGGCUGUGAUAGCUGUGUUUGAAAAAGAAAACGAAGGAAUGAGAGUAAGAGAGAGUAGGUGACUAUACCUCUAUGUUCUGCAUGAGCUACAGUUGUGAAGGAAAAAGAGAAAACAUGUAAAAAACGAAACAGGGAGAGGACGCAGAGGAAAAGUAGAAGGAUUUGGGCUGACACCUUCUUUGGAUCUUCGGAUCAAAAUCUUUGAAAGGUCAGCUUGUCACUCUUUGAGAUGUUUGAAUUGGGCUGAGGCAGUGGAGAGCUAUUCAGAAUUAUGGGCAAGUCUUGUUGGUUAUUAUGUUAUUGUUGUAUAAGCAUAUUUUGUAUGAAAUGAAAUGUUGUCGAUGAAUCGAAAUGGAUAUACUAUGUAAAAGUAUUAGAAGAUCUCUCUUAUUUGGAA